GGUAGGUGUGGAUCCCCACAGGCUAGGUCUCUGGAGCCAGGAAGAAGUAGGAGGGGAUGAAAAUCAUGUGGGGUCGUGGGUGCGAGAGUGGAGGCAGGUAUUGUAAAAUAUCUAGCACGGUAACAUGUUCGACAGCAAUGGCUCUUCCAUAGGUGGUUUGCUGUUCUUGCAGAGGCCCGCUCAAGGCCAAUGGAGCCGCCCCAGACAGAGGAGAAGCAUCUGGAGGAACCAGACCUGCACAGUCCUAGAUGUUUCACUUGGCAGUGGAGCUAAGGAGUGCUGUCGUGAUAUUCGAGGAGCAGCACAAGGGGGGGAAAAGAAGUGGAGGGUCAGAGUCUGCUCCCCUCGUGCAUUGGAAAGCAAGUAAGAGCGGAGAGACAGCGAACAUUACUGAUGCCAGGCAAGAGCCGUCCAGCUUGGAGCCGAGCAGCCAUCACCGUCAGUGAGAGAAGUGUCUUGUUAGCCGCGCUGGUACAGGAAUUGUCCAGGAACCCUACCCGGAGGAGAGACUCUCAGAAGUGAACCUGAUCAGCCUGAACAUCCUUCUAAGCAGACAUGAACAG